rnacentral:lncRNA from 1 species
UUCAACGGAGCCGAUCGUCAAUUUGGAAGCUCUAUCAUCGAAAACAACUCGAUAGUAAAACGCCCCGUUUACUAUCGAGAGUAUUCUAGCUCAACUCUCUCUCUCUCUCUCUCUCUCACUAUAUAUAUUAUAUAUAAUAUAUAGAGUUGAGCUAUGAUACUUUUACAAGUAUCACCAUCAUGGUGCUAUUAGGUUUUAAGCCAUUGUUACUUUUUGAUUAUUAAUAGCCUUUGGAUUAAACACUAUUCCACCUACACCACCUACCACCAUCAUCUCAACCUCACAUCUCUCCAUCCAAGGGCUAAAAACACAAAUAGUUCACACCCAUGAUACUUUUACAAGUAUUCUAGCCCUACUCUAUAUAUAUAUAUAUAUAUAUAAUAUAUAUAUAUAUAUAUUAUAUAUAUAUAUAAUUAUAGAGUUGAGCUAGAAACUCUCGAUAGUAAACGGGCGUUUUACUAUCGAGUUGUUUUCGAUGAUAAGAGCUUUAAAUUGACAAUCGGCUCCGUUAAAUAUGAUCUAAACAUUUAAACUACCUAGAAAUCAAAUUUCACGCACUUUCGAUAUUGUUCUUUUAUCCAUCUAGUGAACAAAAAUGAAUGGCUGAAAAUGAAUAUUCUUUAAAAAAUGAUGAUAGAGUCUUGUAAUCAAGAUCAAGAGUAUAGAUCUUGUUUUAAAUAGUUUAAAGAAUUUUCUAACAAAAAUUCAAUUGAUUUGGAUACCUUUACAUCGUUAAACGAGAAAUGUCUCUUAUCCACCAUUAAAAUUCAAAUUUUGAAACCCUUUGAUCAUUAGAACAAAUGAUUCGAAAAGAUUUGAAAUUUGAUGUCUAACACACUUUAAGUGGUAUAGAUCAUGUUCAACGGAGCCGAUCGUCAAUUGGAAGCUCUAUCAUCGAAAACAACUCGAUAGUAAAACGCCCCGUUUAACUAUCGAGAGUAUUCUAGCUCAACUCUAUAUAUAUAUAUAUAUAUAUAUAUAAUUAUAUAUAUAUAUAUAUAUAUUAUGUUGAGCUAUGAUACUUUUACAAGUAUCACAAUCAUGGUGCUAUUAGGUUUUAAGCCAUUGGAUCUACUUUUUGAUUAUUAAUAGCUCUUGGAUUAAACACUAUUCCACCUACCAACAUCAUCUCAACCUCACAUCUCUCCAUCCAAGGGCUAAAAACACAUAAGUAUCACCCCUAUGAUACUUUUACAAGUAUUCUAGCCCUAUUCUAUAUAUAUAUAUAUAUAUGUGUGUGUGUGUGUGUGUGUGUAGUGUAGAGCUACUAUGCUAUUGGAAGCAUAUAGAGGGUUUUAUGCUUCCAACUUUUUGACCCUUGGAUCAAAAAUUGUACGGUUGGGAUGAUUGCGAUCCCCUUAGCAUUGAGUAGUAACCUUAGGGUUGAAGUGGUCCCUAUAGGGUAAUAUUAUUAAUCCAAAGGUUAAAAAUGAUCAAACGGGUUGAUCUAUGGGCCAAAAAGUUGGAAGGAUCAGAUCCUCUAUAUUUUCGAUAGCAUAGUAGCUCUACUCAUACAUAUAUGUUUUUUAAUGUGCCUCUGUUAUUAUUGAAAUUUUUUAUUUUUACGUCUUCAAACACUUUUAUUUUUGCCGCUCUUUAUGAAUUUAUUGAAUUGUUU